AAAAGUGGGAUGGAAAACUGAUGAGUACGCUUCUGGGCUGUCUGAGUGUUUUCCUUCUAAUGGUCAUCAUUGGUCUGGUUGUUCAAAUCAGGAAACUUCAGACAGCUGGCAGUGAAGAUAAAGAUCCAAGAUCCAAAGGAAGCGAGAAUCUGGCCUCUGAUGACUUGAACUACGCAACAGUGACCUUUGGUCGAGCAGCAGCAGGAAGAAGAGAGCUGGAGUCACAUGUGGUGUAUGCUGCAACCAGAUAGACUCAGGAAGAAAGUGAACUGCAGCUCAGAGCGGAACUGAUACCUCUUUAAUCUGCUGUAUGUAUUGUUUCUCAACAUACAUACAUUACAUACAAAUAUCAUUCUUCUUAAGACAAACUGUGUCUUCAGUUCAGACAUGUAGAACAUGGACGUCACAGUUCAAAUCUCCAGUUUCUACACACAGUCAUCCUGACUCUCUCUGGAUGAGUACAUUUAAAUGGACAAAAAUAACACAAGUACAAACCAGACCAUGAGAGUUUGGACAGUCACAAGAUUGUUGUUCUUUAGGCUCCGUGCUUCAGCACAUUCAAUUUAAAAUAGAACAAUGAAUAGAGACAGCACAGUGUGGUCUGAUCACAGCUGAAGUGAAAAACUGAAGACACAGUUUGUCUUAAGAAUUAUAUUUGUAUUUAUGAAUAUUCAUGACACCACAUGACCAGUGCUCCACUCUGCACUGUGGUUACAAGCCUCACUGUGGGCAUUAGUGAGAUAUCUGUAUGUGUCUUCACACGUCUUCAUUCUUCACACGUUCUUUACACUUUCAAUGUGUCAGACUUUGACAGCCUCAUAUGAAACCGUUCACUCUGCUCCAGACUCUGCAAGUUUAACACCUGACAAAUCAGAGCAACAGGUGCAGCAGGUGCAGCUCCCAUCCACCUCCACUGUCUCAUGUCCACAGUGUGACUGAAAACAGUUCAAGAGGGUGUGGUGAUGCUGAAGGUGCCCCCUCCAGGCAAGAACAAAAAAACGCUGCAGCAAUUUGAACACACUGACACCUGCAUGAAGUGAAUGGUAUUGUCUGUUAGGGAGUGUUUUUGAUGUCUUGAUGAUGUCUUGAUGAUGCCAUAUGAGCCCCAGAGAAGCUGCUAAAUGGAUCUAAUCUAAAACAACACUGACAGGUCCAUAGGUUGACUGAAACACAUUGUGUUUCAUGUGCAUAUCAGUGCUGAACUGAUCCUUUCUCACCCAAUUCCAUUAUAAGUAAUAGCUUACAAACUUCAAGUCCUCCUUCUGUGUAAAAAUGCAUUCUGAAGUUCAGCUGAAAACCUUAAUUCUUAAUGUUAAUUCAUGUUUAUUGUUCAGUUCCUGUUAAAUUACAAGUUCAGGAAUAAACCAUAUGUUUUUGUUUCAGACUGGAUCUCUGUCUCAGCUUCUGAGUUUCACACUGUGAAGGUCUAGGUCUGGUCUACCAGGCUGAACUCUUUGACAAGAUAAUACUACACAAAUGU